GGUAUCACUUUUCGCUGGCACUUUUACACAGAUUCAUUCAGAAAUAGCUCAUGUGGGCCAGUUGUCUGGGUUUGAUGGGACAGUCACUUAGGACUAUAGUUGGGUCUAUAUGUGUCACCCAGUCGCUCAGCAAUCAUUCAUGAGUUCCUGAUAUCGACCACACACUGAGGCCAAAAAAAAGCCUGACCUUUGUGAAUCCCUGACCCCAGCCUAUCAAGGCCCAGUGACUGAGCUGGGUGAGGUCCUUCUAGGCACUUUGGGAGAUGUCAUACUGAAAGUAGAAGACGUGAAAGCUGGGGCUACAGGAGAGAAUGAGAAAGGAACUUUCUAUGUCUCCAAGCAAAGUCGAGAAGAAACCAGAAUUGUCUUGGUCCUAAGGGAAGGUGAGUCUGGCAUAUAAUGGUGGCACUUGAUCUCUGUCCUGUGAAUGUUACAUCAUUGUACAUGAGACUGGGGCAUUUGCUCUCUGAUAAAUUUUAUUGGGAAUUACCAUGUCACUUAGACUGGAAAUAGUAUAAAUAUUAGGUGCACAGUUCAUAAGUUUGGGUUCUGAAAUUACUGCAGGAAAUUAUAAAAAUAUAAGUGUAACUCUUUGUCCUACCCAGGGGCAAAAAUAUCUCCUGGAAAGUUGCUUCCUUUUUCCACAUAGAUUUGGGCCUAUAUCUCACAACCUCAAUUAUGCUCCCUUUUGAGUAGUUUUCUUUCUCUGCAGACUUCUAUAAACGGAAAGUAAUUGCAUAUGCACAUACAUAGGUAUAUAUCUGCAUCAGUGUAAUCCAUAGCUUCAUUUAUAUCAAGGAACUCUCUCAAAAAUGAGCCAAAUUAACUGAGCUAUUCAUUAACAAAACAUUUAUUGAGCACCUACUAUGUGUCUGAUACUAUAUUAGGUGAUGUGACGUCAAAGAUAAAAAAGAUAUGGUUUUUACUUCCACAGUGUCUUCCAUGCAAGACUUUUUAAAAUGUGUAGAAAAUAGUCUGAUGAGAGACUUUAAAUAUUUAUUGAAACUUCCACUUUACCUUUAAUUCCUAUUUUUUAAAAGUAUGGAUCACUGAGCUAUCCAACAACUGCUUUGUCUUUUGUUAGACUUUUUCUUUAAUACAGAAAAGUUAAGGGAAAAACUUUCAAAGUGCGAGACGGAGACUCGGCCACCUUGCUGCUCAGACCCCAA
rnacentral:lncRNA from 1 species